rnacentral:lncRNA from 10 species
GAUGCAUGUCAUGGCCGCCUCCAUGGCCCGGGGAGGCGUGAGUGCCAGGGUUCUACUGCAGGCUGCCAGGGGCACCUGGUGGAACAGACCUGGGGGCACUUCCGGGUCGGGGGAGGGGGUGGCGCUGGGGACAACCAGAAAGUUUCAAGCGACAGGCUCGCGCCCGGCUGGAGAGGAGGACGCGGGCGGCCCGGAGCGGCCCGGGGACGUGUGAGUGCAGGGGGCCAAGUCCCCCAUUCCUCAUCCCACGGAAUUCCUCUGGUCCCCAUCUUGCCCUGUAGCUUCAUCUCGAGGUCCCCCUUCUGCUUUGCCCUAUUCAGUACCUGUGCGUCAAGCCUCAAUUCCUACUUCCUAACCCUAGAUUCUACCCGGGCCCUGAGCCCAUCAUCCAGUUCGGCAUUCGCACUUCCAUCUGUCCCCAGGGUGAACGUGGUGUUCGUAGACCGCUCAGGCCAGCGGAUCCCAGUGAGUGGCAGAGUCGGGGACAAUGUUCUUCACCUGGCCCAGCGCCACGGGGUGGACCUGGAAGGUAGGAACCGGGCAGAGGGAAUUAAGGAGGUCCUUAUACAUUUGUCCAAAAAAAA